CUUUUCCAUUGCAAGUACCCAUUGUGCAAAAUGAGCUUUACGGCCACGUGACUGGUGGAAAUAAAUUAUGUAUGGCUGGAGCAUCUGAAAGCUUCCUAGUGGAUGGCAUUGGGUUACAUCAGAGCUCAGCUUCGCAGAAACUCCCGUGGCUUCCUCAUGGUAAUUAGCUGCUGAAAGCCCAGCCUCGUGCUGAGUUGAGAAGCCCAUGGGAAGAUGCUGUUCAUUCACAGGCCCCUGAACCAAAGCCUUGGAAAUGUUGUCUGCCCAAAACACAGACUUGAGCAUCGCCAGAUAACCGCUGUAGGAACAAAGAAGCCUGAAUGUCCCAGGACCAAUCCAAGUCGACCAGAUCAACCAGAACCCCACUCUGAGGAGAGAGGUGGACUAGACAACUUCCAGACAUCCCUGGCAACCUAGUUUAUUCCAUGAUUGCUGCACGGUCUCUUUAAUUGCCUCUGAAGCAUUUGUGAAUUGUCUAUGUUUGGCUUUUGUUCAAAUAAGCAGAAUGUUCAUUUACAUUGCUAGCAGUAGCAUUGCUAUAGCUGCAGCAGUGUAAAGAUAUAGCCAUGACAAACUUAUAAGGAGAAAUAAUAUAUUUUUCUUAGGCCAGUUGAUGAAGCUAGAAUAGAUAUAGGUAUUGUAUUGGAUAUGAAGCAAGGAGCACACAUGAAUCUGAAUAAAGGUUGAGAGCUAUUGCUUUGAUAGUAAGAG
rnacentral:lncRNA from 14 species